UAGAAUAUCAGCUAUAAAGCUAACGAGUUCAUACCUCGUAGAAGAAGGUUAUGCCUGAUAAAA
rnacentral:tRNA from 1 species